AUUGAACGCUGGCGGCAGGCUUAACACAUGCAAGUCGAGCGGAGCGAGGGCGCUUGCACCUUAGCUUAGCGGCGGACGGGUGAGUAAUGCUUAGGAAUCUGCCUAUUAGUGGGGGACAACAUUCCGAAAGGGAUGCUAAUACCGCAUACGCCCUACGGGGGAAAGCAGGGGAUCUUCGGACCUUGCGCUAAUAGAUGAGCCUAAGUCGGAUUAGCUAGUUGGUGGGGUAAAGGCCUACCAAGGCGACGAUCUGUAGCGGGUCUGAGAGGAUGCUCCGCCACACUGGGACUGAGACACGGCCCAGACUCCUACGGGAGGCAGCAGUGGGGAAUAUUGGAGAAUGGGGGGAACCCUGAUCCAGCCAUGCCGCGUGUGUGAAGAAGGCCUUUUGGUUGUAAAGCACUUUAAGCGAGGAGGAGGCGCUCUAGGAUAAUACCCUAGAUGCGUGGACGUUACUCGCAGAAUAAGCACCGGCUAACUCUGUGCCAGCCGCCGCGGUAAGAC
rnacentral:rRNA from 1 species